UCAGACUAUUAGCUAUACGUGUAUUGAAUCUACAUCUAUGAAUGAAAACUUUUUAUUGGAUUCAGAAAAUAUUGAAAUCCAACUAAAAAUGGUCUGAGUAUUUAUUAGAGAAUUACUAUAAAAGGAGGGAUCAUAUAAAAACAGAUUUUAUGUUUGCUCGCUUUCUCUUUAUAUAUAUUUUAAAUGUUAUUCUCUAACUAAAAGACAAUUUCAAUGGUAUAGAAAAAUACAAAAGAGAAAAUCAAAACUAUCAUGUUUCAAUGAUCUGACUUAUAUUUGUACUUUGCCAAUACCAAGUUUCAUGAGAAGAUCGAUGGUUUUGUAUUAAAUUGCAAUGUCAGUAAAAGCGCUAAAAUCCUUCA